AUUUAUUUGUGCAACAAAUAUGCUGUAACCUGGUCAGGAUUGGAAAAUAGCAGCCACAUCAGCCUCUGUUUGUGUGCACUUUUUAUUUGUG
rnacentral:SRP_RNA from 1 species